AACGAACGCUGGCGGCAGGCCUAACACAUGCAAGUCGAGCGAGGUAGCAAUACCUAGCGGCGGACGGGUUAGUAACGCGUGGGAACGUGCCCAAAGGUACGGAAUAGCCUCGGGAAACUGAGAGUAAUACCGUAUGUGCCCUUCGGGGGAAAGGAUUUAUCGCCUUGGUAUCGGCCCGCGUUGGAUUAGGUAGUUGGUGGGGUAAGUGGCCUACCAAGCCGACGAUCCAUAGCUGGUUUGAGAGGAUGAUCAGCAACACUGGGACUGAGACACGGCCCACGACUCCUACGGGAGGCAGCAGUGGGGAAUCUUAGACAAUGGGGGAAACCCGUGAUCUAGCCAUGCCGCGUGAGCGAUGAAGGCCUUAGGGUUGUAAAGCUCUUUCAGCUGGGAAGAUAAUGACGGUACCAGCAGAAG
rnacentral:rRNA from 1 species